CUUGUUAGAAGAUUAAUACUGUCCACAUCCCAAAACUUCACUUGGCCAUCUUCACCAGAAACCAAAAAGCGGUUUUGGAUUGUGUCAAACUGCACAACACCGGUAGAUUUCUUUCUGAAUCCAUUGUAUGUUCUCUUAAUGGCUCAAAGAAGUUUUGCUAUUUCCCUUCAUUAUAAUAGGUGCCAGCAGAGUAUAUACCAAGUUAAGGCAGUGUGCAGUUGGUGUAGUUACAUCCAUUACAUACAAUACAUAUCUCAGUUUGGUAUAUAUCUCAGAUACGCCAUAGUAUGAAUCAAACUCUGUCACGAGCCAUUUCCACGGACCAUCUAACAAUAGAAUCUCCAUUUCUGAUGGCAUCACCACCCAGUUUUACAUCUGGUGUGAUACAUAUGGUCCUCUCACAAAAGUUAAGAGGAAAUUCGGGAUUUGUUCCAGCAUAAGCUUUAGUAAGGAUGCCAGAACCCAAUUUCUUCACUUUCUCAGAUGCUGCAAUAACACCAGCAUCCACGCCCACAGGAGCAUGAGAAUAUAUUUGAAGGCUACCAUCAUCAUGUAAGACAAGACAGUGAAUUUUAUCCUUUGAUAGCGGUUUGUAUGCAGUCAUUCCAACUAUAGGGGAGGCUGAACCCACUGAAUGCUUCAUACUUAGAGCAAGUACAACAUGUUCCUCCAGGGACACCGCGAGUGCAGAAUUUGAUUUCACAGUUGAUAAGCAAACAAAUAAUCCAUUUCCAGCCAAUAAUUCUUUCCAAUGAUGUACUCCAGCAGGCCGCAUCUUACUUUCGUGCUCCUCAAAUAUAGAAGACAUCUCUACUAGGGAGGCUGCAUCUUUUUUCUUGAUUAUUCUAUUGUAAAAAUGAUCAAUAGUAUUUGGAAUAUGUCAUGUAGCAUAAGAUCUAGUGUAGGAUUAGGACCUCUUUGU